rnacentral:sRNA from 1 species
AAACGUGCAACUCCCUUUGAGUCCGUUC